UCCGAUUCGUUUGAACCGAAGCGCUCGAAACAGCGUACGCUGGCGACAACUGCUAGUCAAAACAUGUAUAAUGACAUUUUGUAAAAACCAACUGCAAAUGUUUUCAUGAAAGUAUUAUCUAUUAAAUGUAAUCUACGAAUUAUUAAAUACCAUUAAACCAAAGCUGUGUCCGAAACCGCCCCCUAUCCACUAAAUAGUGCACUAUUUCGGGUGUCGGCCAUUUUUUAGUGGUGUCCGAAUCCAUUCCUUACAUUUGUUCACUCAUUCUUAACCACAAUGCAAUCUGAUUUCGAGGGUACAUACGAAGUACACUCUCCGACCCUUAUUUCCCAUAAUCCAAGAGACGGCGGCAGAGUGGCAAAAAAAAAAAAAAAAAAAAAACUCCAAACACCGGAGGCGGCAACUUUUAUAAAUGGACGGAUGAAGACGUAACGCGUCACAUAAUGAGCAGGAUGGCCAAUGGGCAUCUCUUCUCUGGGCGCAGGAACGCAGCCCAGUUUGGAUAGGAAACUGUACUGAAAGAGAUGGGUUUGCUUGGUGUGGUAACCCCUGCCAAAGCUGCCAAAAAGUGGGAAAAAUUGUAGAAAACCUACAAGGUGAAUGGUGACCAAAUCUUUUAGCUCCAAAAAGGACAUAAAGGCAACAUUAAGUUUGGCUUGCCCGUUCCCAAUGCGCUCUAGGUCCUUGUGGUGGCGUAGUCACUCUGGGUGGCGAAGGACGAAUCUCAGUUGCCUCCGCUUCUGAGAGUCAAUCCAUGCAUCUUAUCACGUGGCUUGAGCGCAUUACCACAGAGACCUAGCGUGUAGAGGGUUCACGCUAUUCUCCGCGGCAUCCACGCACAACUGACCACAUGCCCCACCGAGAGUGAGAACCACAUUUAUAGCAACCACGAGGAGGUUAACCCAAUGUGACUCUACCCACCUUAGCAACCGGGCCAAUUGGUUGCUUAAGAAGCCUGAAUGGAGUCACUCAGCAUGCCCUGGAUUCGAACUUGCGACUCCAGGUGUGGUAGUAAGCGUCUUUACUUGCUGAGCUACCCAGGCCCCCCUGUUAUUCUUUUUGCUAUUUUAACUUUAAAAUGAGGUAAUCUGUAUCAUUGUAUAAUAUGUUUAAGAUUUUGUUGCACUGCUGUAUCUAUUGGCACUUUCAUUUCCUUGUUAUGUAUUUCUUCAUGUACAUGGAGGUCAAUUACAGGCAUUGGGAAGAGCCAAGGAGGUACUGCUGGCACAGCCACAGAAGGGGCAAUAGCAACAUCAUUCAAUCCCAUACUCUGUGCCUCCUUACUAACUAUCCAUCCAAAGCUUGUUAUUUUAAUUUUUUAAUUUUUUUGUACUCCUAUUCCCAACAAUCUUUCAGUACUUUUUUAACUGGAUGACUUUCCAAAUGACCCUUUCCAGCAGUCCAAUAUCUCUUCCUUAACUUAAGCCUAUGGAUUUCUAGUGGCAUUUCCCUCAUCUCCACUUGUAAAGAUGACACUGGAGAUGUUCUAAAUGCUCCACAGCAUAUUCGUAGUGCUUGUGAUUUUAUUGCCUCAACCAUUUUAAGCCAUGUUAUAGAUGCAGAACUGUACACCAUACUGCCAUAAUCUGUAGCGGAUCUGAUCAAUGCACAAUAUAUACUUCAAAGUGACUGACGACUUGCCCCCCCCCCAUUCAAUUCCUGCCAAGCACCUCCAUUUAUUCCACUUAUUACCUACAUUUAUUCCUUUUUUACAUUUAUCUAUUAGUUUCAGGAUAUGAACUCCAACGGUCAAUUUUGAAUCCAUCCACAUAACCACAAAUCUAACAAAUUUUACUUGUUCCAGCUGAUGUCCAUACAUAUUGAUAUUCACUGUGGGAUUCAUUUUCCUUUUUGAGAAGCAAUUCACUUGUGUUUUUGCCACUGAAAAGCAAACCGCCCAAAUAUUAGCCCAAUUCUCGACCUAAUUUACAGCAUACUAUUCACCACAUAUGUAACAUUGCGCCCUCUCUUCCAUAAAGCUCCAUCAUCUGCAUAUGAUCUCCCUAUUCCAGUGUCUAUCUGAGAGAAAAUGUAAUUCAUCAUAAUAUUAAAGAGAUUAGAGCUGCAAACACUUCCUUGUGGAAUUCUGUUCUCUGUUGGGUAUAUCUAGACUCCACUCUUACUUGUAUAGCUCUACCUAACAAGAAGCUCAUGAUCCAGUUGUACAUUCUCCCUUUGAUUCCUUCCACAACAUAUACACUUUUUCUUUGGGGGCUCUUGACCCCCAGCUUUAAGGUGUCGAUCCGGGGGUGUCAGCAACCCCUGUAGGAAAAUGUUUUGGCCAAAUGCUUUGCUGUGUUUAGGAAGUUUGUGUUUUAAAAAACUUUGAUCUGAUCCUCUCUGAAGUGUUAACCAUAUUCGAAGUGUCAUUUCUCUUAGGAAGGGUUUAAAAAAAAAAAAGUAUUCGUUUAAACAGGAUGAGGGCACCUGUUCACACUUUAGAUGCUAAGAACAAGAUAUUUUUUUGAUUCCUAACUUUAAAGUGUAAUUUCUCUUAGGAUGUGUUUUUUAAAACCUGUUCACGCUUUUGGUGCGGUCAGGAUAAGGGGGGAGUUUUUUAUUUUAUUCUAUAUUAUUUUUGUACAAAGUGGGGUGUCAGCAUUCCCAUGGGAAAAUGUUUCUGCCAAAUGCUUUGCUAUGU